UGGGAAUAUUGGACAAUGGGCGCAAGCCUGAUCCAGCCAUACCGCGUGGGUGAAGAAGGCCUUCGGGUUGUAAAGCCCUUUUGUUGGGAAAGAAAUCCAGCUGGCUAAUACCCGGUUGGGAUGACGGUACCCAAAGAAUAAGCACCGGCUAACUUCGUGCCAGCAGCCGCGGUAAUACGAAGGGUGCAAGCGUUACUCGGAAUUACUGGGCGUAAAGCGUGCGUAGGUGGUCGUUUAAGUCCGUUGUGAAAGCCCUGGGCUCAACCUGGGAACUGCAGUGGAUACUGGGCGACUAGAGUGUGGUAGAGGGUAGCGGAAUUCCUGGUGUAGCAGUGAAAUGCGUAGAGAUCAGGAGGAACAUCCAUGGCGAAGGCAGCUACCUGGACCAACACUGACACUGAGGCACGAAAGCGU
rnacentral:rRNA from 1 species